rnacentral:tRNA from 2 species
GGCCCCAUCGUCUAGCCCGGUCUAGGACAUCUCCCUUUCACGGAGAGGACAGGGGUUCAAAUCCCCUUGGGGUCA